rnacentral:rRNA from 1 species
AGAGUUUGAUCCUGGCUCAGAACGAACGCUGGCGGCAUGCCUCAUACAUGCAAGUCGAACGAAGGCUUCGGCCUUAGUGGCGCACGGGUGAGUAGCGCGUGGGAACCUGCCCUGGAGUGGGGGAUAACCGAGGGAAACUUCGGCUAAUACCGCAUGCGCCCGGUAGCAAUACCGGGGAAAGAUUUAUCGCUCUAGGAGGGGCCCGCGUCGGAUUAGCUAGUUGGUGGGGUAACGGCCUACCAAGGCGACGAUCCGUAGCUGGUCUGAGAGGAUGAUCAGCCUCACUGGGACUGAGACACGGCCCAGACUCCUACGGGAGGCAGCAGUGGGGAAUAUUGGACAAUGGGCGCAAGCCUGAUCCAGCCAUGCCGCGUGGGUGAUGAAGGCCUUAGGGUUGUAAAGCCCUUUCGGCGGGGAAGAUAAUGACGGUACCCGCAGAAGAAGCCCCGGCUAACUUCGUGCCAGCAGCCGCGGUAAUACGAAGGGGGCUAGCGUUGCUCGGAAUCACUGGGCGUAAAGCGCACGUAGGCGGGUCCUUAAGUCAGGGGUGAAAUCCUGGAGCUCAACUCCAGAACUGCCUUUGAUACUGAGGAUCUCGAGUUCGGGAGAGGUGAGUGGAACUGCGAGUGUAGAGGUGAAAUUCGUAGAUAUUCGCAAGAACACCAGUGGCGAAAGGCGGCUCACUGGCCCGAUACUGACGCUGAGGUGCGAAAGCGUGGGGAGCAAACAGGGAUUAGAUACCCUGGUAUCCACGCCGUUAACGAUGGGAUGCUAGGCGUUGGCGGGUUUUACUCGCAGUGG